AGGCACUGACCCGGGACCUCUGUGUGUUUUGCCAUGCCCUCAAAGAUCUAGUGGCAGUGCCAGAGAAGACCUAGCUUGUUGAGAUCCGGGGCUGCUUAGAUGGCACUUAAAUGAUUCCUUUAGAAGUAAGUGACACUU
rnacentral:snoRNA from 1 species